UUUCUUCCCUGAACCACCACCCUUCCUAUGACGUAACAUCUGAACAUGCUACGAGGAAAACUACUGGACGGAUUCAGAGGGCAGCUCAGAUGAAGACUCGAGAGUAACCAGAACUCGCAGGAGGUCUCCCGGUAUUUGCAUUUCCAGCUGAGGUGGUCGGGGAUGUCCUUCCGCAUCAUACGCUCCUGGCACUUCCCCAGCGGACACGGCACCUCAUAGUACGGACACACAUUCAGGUGGGACUGGGGUGGUGGCGCCGUCCUCUGGCGUGACCUCCAUCUUCUCUUCCUCGCUGUUCUUCGCCCCGUCGCUGCUCUCCACGCCGUGCUCUGCCUCCCACUCCUGCAGCACCUCGUCCAGGUUGAAGCGUCGCCGGUAGUUCACAAAGAAAUUCUUCACCUGGACCACAGACUUGUUCCCGAUUACAUCGGAGAUGGCCUGGAAGUCCCGGCCGUACUUGCGAAUAGCUGCAAAGAGAGAGAAAACUAAUUUAUUCAUCUGGCAGACGACUGUUUCCAAAGUGACUCACAACUCAAGCUGCAUCAAGUUAGGACACAAGCAUUUAUAAAAUCCACUGGAAAAUUGUUGAUAGCAUUAUUACUGAAAAAUAUACAUUGUGGAAAA